UUAGCCUUGCAGGUGUUAUAGCAAGUCAUUAUAGAAAGUUCUCACGAACAAAUCCACUUGAUCUCACGAGGGUGUUAUAUUAACUGUGCUACGCGAAGGAAUUAUUGUUUCAAAUAUUUUCAAUAAUAGAAAAUAGGCAAAAUGACAAUUUUCUAUAGAAUAAUUUUUCGGAAGCGAUAAAAAUUGCUAAAGGCAGGAGAUUUGGUGCUCAACGCGGGAGAGCGGGAGAAGGGGUCUAAAAUCUUGAGACUCCCGCCUUAUGCGGGAGAGUUGACAGGUAUGUAAAAGCCCUAAAAAUUCCAAGGAUUUCCUAGCAUAAGCGAAACCAGAAAAUCGGAAGAAUUUGGAUUGGAAAUCUUAGGAAUCCUAAAGAAGAAGAUUUGAAGCAUUCUGUAAUUUAGUAACUAUUUCUUACGAAAUAAUAAUAGAACAUUUUCAUCACCAGAACAGGCCUCACCAUACUACCACACCAUCUAUUGUGAGCUAUACUACAACAAUAAGAAACGUGAUAUAUAAUGUGGUGUGCUUUUUUCAGAAUUAGUACUGCAUUGAAAAGAAGGAUUUGAAGAGGGUGAUAAUUGAUAAGAAUUUUUAGAAGUUUUAAUGCUACUUGAGAUAAUAAAAAAAAGAAGUCCAGCUUUGCAGAUACGAUAGAAGGCGGCUCAGCAGGGCCCGCCGUAAAACCAAAAUGUGCCGGGCCUCCUUUGCUUUAGUGGCCGAGAGGAGUUUGGGCCCAAGGCGCAAAGCCAUAACGGUCAAACGAACGCCAUUAUAAUAGUCUCCAAACAGAUAGCCGUUUAUGCCCGUCUCUUCUACGCGUAAUCUACCUAUUUCAAGGAUUUGAUGUGCAGAAUAUUGAUUGAAGUUAAAGGCUAUAUGAUAGAGAAAGCUAAAUGUGCUCGAGUUGCAAAGCCAGGAAAUAAAGAAAUUUGAGGUACAAGGAAUGUAUCAAUAGGUAAAUCGCUAGAAUCGAAUUUUAAGCUUAAAACUUUGUAAAUUGAUUCACUGACAUACUUAAGUUCUUGAAGUACAUUAUGAUGAAGCGCCUAUAUCUUUAUAAACUGUUGCUAAAAGCACACACUUGCCUAAUUUUGCUUAGUAAAAUCUAAUCUUGCACCUAAAGUUUGUCCAGAUAUUUUUUAUAUUCUGAUCACAGUAAAACCCUGCAUAUGCAGAAACUAGUUCAUCUUUUCAAGCUAUCGUGCUAGGUUCGAAUUUAAAUGUUGCCUAUCGAGAAUAAAGGCUUCUAGCUUCUUAUCUGAUAAUGCUAAAGAUAUUUUACUUAUUCUACUGUAGCUGGUACUGUAACCGAGGCACUGGCACUGCUUGAAUCGGAAAUUUAGUCCUUUUAAACAGUAGAACUCUUCUUAACGGGACUCCAUAUACUUAAUAUAUUAGUUAUGCUGGCAUACAUGGGACUGAUUUUUAAAGUCCAGGAUUUUGCACAAAUAGACAAUAAUCACAGGCUGUGUAUGUGCUACUGUAUGUUUGUGAUGCACCUAAACUUUGAAUAAAAAGAAUCUUUAAUGUU